GCAUGAGAAAAAAUCACCAUCCACAACACAAGUUUGGCUUUCACACUGUUUGAAACAGAAAUAAAAACACCUUGUUGGAAUCGAAAAACUACUUUUGCUUCCCUAUACAAAAAUAAAAAAAUAAAAAAAAUUCAAAGGAUUAUCCUCAAAUCAAUUACUUUAGCUCCCUUCUCAUGUGAACUAAACAAGUGGAGCCUCAGUCAACAAGGCCCUUCUCCAAACUAAAAGGAAUUUCACAUCCAAAUUUGUUGCAAGAAAGAAAAGCAAUGGAAGAUCAAAGUCAUAUGGCAACUGGGGAACUUUCAAUAGCCAUGUUGAAAGGAGUUUACUUUCUUCCAUGGAGGCUCCCACAAAUUGACUGCUGUUGCUGGGUCACAAUUGACAUUAGCUUUCGACCGCUUCUAUUAAGAAAUGCUUUCUUUAAAGAAGUUCAACACUAUGAAGUCGCACAUCACAUGCUUGCCUGAAUGCUCACGCCAAAAAUUUUCUCAUUGUAUGGCUACAUUAACGACACAUGAUAUUUUGCAACCUUCGGGAAAGGCCGGUGUUGCAACCAUCAGUACUCCGCAAUAAGAUAACCAAGACCCAUAGCUCGUGGUUAUCUUAUUAUCAGAGAUAGCAUU
rnacentral:lncRNA from 1 species